CGGUUAUACGAGAGGCCCCAGUUAAUAAUAUUACGGCGUAAAGGGUGGUUAAGGGACACAAUAGAAUAAAGCCAAACAGCCCCCCGGCCGUCAUACGCUUCCGGGAACUGGAAGCCCAACUCCACGAAAGUAGCUUUAACAAAUUUGCCUGACCCCACGAAAGUUGAGGCACAAACUGGGAUUAGAUACCCCACUAUGCUCAACCAUAAACCCAGACAUUUAUAUACAAGCACAUGUCCGCCAGGGUACUACAAGCAUCAGCUUAAAACCCAAGGGGUCGUACGGUGCCUCAGACCCCCCUAGAGGAGCCUGUUCUAGAACCGAUAACCCCCGUUAAACCUCACCACUUCUAGUCAUCCCAGCCUAUAUACCGCCGUCGCCAGCUUACCCUGUGAAGGCAAUAAGAGUAAGCAAAAUGGGCACAACCCAGAACGUCAGGUCGAGGUGUAGCGCACGAGGUGGGAAGAAAUGGGCUACAUUUUCUAUUAUAGAACACUACGAAUACGCAACAUGAAAUAGUGCUUGAAGGAGGAUUUAGUAGUAAAAAGGAAAGAGAGUGUCCUUUUGAACCCGGCUCUGAGACGCGUACACACCGCCCGUCACUCUCCCCUGUCAAAAUGCAACAAUAAUAUUUAAACCCAAAGCGCAGACAAGGGGAGGCAAGUCGUAACAUGGUAAGUGUACCGGAAGGUGCACUUGG
rnacentral:rRNA from 1 species